GUGGUUGUUGCUGAAUUACAUGAUGAACUGCCUGCCGAGCUAUUCGAAAAAAUGAAUGCAGCCAAACUGCAUGACUGGAGACCAAAGUACCAUGCUUGUGUUGACUUAUUGAGAGUAGCUAAGAAAGUAAGGUAAAGGAUGGUAUUUGAGGCCCCAUGAAGCAUCAUGAGAGCCCAGUAGCUCUUGUGGUUGUCCAAUGGAUCUGAGGAGAUCCAUCAAGAGGAUCC
rnacentral:lncRNA from 1 species